rnacentral:misc_RNA from 1 species
GAUGAAGAACGCAGCGAAAUGCGAUAAGUAAUGUGAAUUGCAGAAUUCAGUGAAUCAUCGAAUCUUUGAACGCACCUUGCACCCUUUGGACUGCUCCAAAGGGUAUGCUCGUUUGAGUGUCAUUGUACUCUCACACUCUCUGAUCCUUUGGAUUUGGGGAGCAGUGGACUUGGGUGCUUGCUGCUUCCUUGUGGCUCACCUGAAAUGCAUCAGUGCAUCUCUCGAUUGGACAUAGUACAGCGUGAUAAGUGUCUUCGCCGGCACCUCAUAUGAGGGUGGCCGAUCGGGAGCUCUGUGCUUUCAAACCGUCUUCGGACAACGCUGACAACUUGACCUCAAAUCGAGUAGGACUACCCGCUGAACUUAAGCAUAUCAAUAAGCGGAGGA